CAAAGUUUCUCUCGACUGGUGAAAUCAGAGAAAAAUAGUUAGCAUCAGCUGCUUCGACAGUUAGCACCACAAGCUCACAAUCAUUGUGGGGUCGUUAUUCAAAAAACUUAAUGCACUACACAUUACUGUGAUUUUUCUUUAAGUAAGGCGUGGCUUUACUUAUUUACUCCCAGCAGUAUGCAAUUCUACACUUGACAUUACAUCACUCUUGCAUUACUCCACAGCAUCAUCUGACGUUCUUGACAAUUAGGAAUAUGGGCACAGACACACCAAACCAACAUCCAAGAACUAGCAGUGACAAAGUCCGACUGUCCUGUCGCCUCAUGUCGUCUCUCUCGGACCAAAACUCAAGUUAUUUAUCUAAUCGACGGGCUGAAAGGCUGCCAACAACAGCUGAGCAGAGCCAGCCCUGUGGGGCACACUGCACAGACUAGGCCCCAGGACCACAUAUGCUCAACAACGGCCCCAACAUUGCCCGACGACCGACCAUCGGCCUGGUGUGUGAGGCCCUUGAAAACAUUAAUCCUGUUACCCACAUAUCAGUCCCUCUUCUUUUCUGCUCUUUAGUAACAUAAUACCACAAAGCUCACAGCUCAAACAAACAGAUUUUUUGGGUGCGCUAUGUAGCUAGUUAGCCAAGUAGUUUAUGGCAUCUGUAGUGGGUGAACUGGAUGACACAAGAGGGUUGACUAAAGAAUGAUGUCAUUCUUCUAACAAAAAGUUAAAAAUAAAAUCGUGUGACUAAGAUCAAACUGUGACAUUUGACAAAUCUGACACAGCUGAUACUGCGCACUGCCCCAGAUAUCUGAUCACAUCUGUGCCACUUUUCACACCUUUCAUCUGGACAUGGAAAUGAUUUCAGAUGCUUGGCAGGUCUGCAACAGGAAUAAAUUAAGCAUGCAGAACAAUGUCAACAGAGAUUGUAAGAGCAAAUGGUUGCGAAGAGCCACAAACAUUUGAGCAAGGGUAAAUUCAGUAACAUGACCGAGGCUUGGUCAAAC